AAACUGGAAAAAAAAACCGGAAAAGCCUGCCGAAGUUGAGGCCAUUACGCCUCGCAAUUAGGUGUCCUCCUCGGGAUAGCGUCAUUUAAAGAACGAGUGUCAGCACAACGUAAAAAAAAA